GGGUGGUGUAGUGGCAGCACACAUCCCCGGUAUGGAUGAAACGCUGGUUCUACCCCGGUCUGAGGUCG